UGGAGGUUUUUAAGAAGAGAUUGAACAACCAUUUGUCUGAAAUGAUAUAGCGUCUCCUGUUCAAGCAAAACUUGAUAACCUCCAAGGUCUUUUUCAACUCUGUUGUUUUGAUAUUUUGUUAUCCUGUUUCUAAAGUGUUGCAAAGCAUCUUCUAAAGUCUAAAAAACUCAUUAACCUAACAUUAGCUUUCAACAAAGUUUAAUUUCUAUUAUCCAUGAUUGAUGACAAAACCGUUGAAAAAAAAUAUGAUCUUGCUUUUCCUGGCUUAAAAAGAUGGUUUGGGAAGGGGAAGAACAAAUGAAUAAAAGAACGCUUCUUCAGAAUAGAGAAUGUUCUUGAACAUGGUUGCCAUUGGAAUUCAGGAGGCUUCUAGAUUUCUGCAGGACAAUCAAUCUAAUAAUUGUAGAAAACCAAGAGUCUUCUGGCAACAUUUUUCUUUUUGGCAUUUAAGCUUGAUUUGAUACAAAAUUAGAUUUAAAUCAGUCACCAUCUUCUACAAAUGUGUCUCCCCGAACAACGGACUUGCUAGGCUUUUGUCUCAAAUUGGGUGUCGGUUGCUAUGGUUACUUGUAAUUGCCUGGACUGGGGCCAAAAACUGAAUCCAGGAAAGGGAGAGAUUCUGUUAGUGGAUUGUAUGUAUCCUUUGUGUGUGUCCUUUUUCUCCGUGUUGGCAAGCAAGUUAAGACUUACUAAGCUUGAGUUUUCCUCCUAGUUGGCAACUAAGAACCAGGGGGUGUUUAAAUCCUAGAGUGCUUAAGAACACACUAGGACUCACCCGAACAUUAAGGGAACACAAAACACUUGAGAAGACAGCAGGAGAGGAUACAACUCAACCAAAGAAUGAAGGAGAUGGCUCACUGAUUAUUUGUAUGCCAGGGACUGCCUUUCCAGAAAACAGGAAGAAAUACAAAUGCAGAAAAAAUAGAUGACAAACUAAUUCUCAAAUAAAUUUAAGAAAAGUGCACAUUGAAUCCUAUUCACAAAAUUAUAAUUUAUAACUCUUAUUGAACAAUGUUGUAUGACUCAUGGAAAUUAAUUGGUAGAAAUUAGAUCUGGUAAUUGAAUAGGUUCACACAAAAUAUGCUUCACAAACAAUAUCAUAAUGGAUUGAUUUCCUCAAAAAUAAACAAAUUUCAUGAUAGUUGCCCAUUUACAAUAGAUUUAAAUGGAUAUAUUCAAUUAUUACUAAAUCUGGGUGUAAUCUAAUAUAAAUAUGUUUACUGAGACUGGGCCCCAUAGGCAAAUCCAGAAAAAAAAUGAAAGUGUCAUGGUUCCGAAACUCCUCAAAAGAACUUCAAGGGAUUGUUUACCUUAAAGAAUCUUUUAUUCGUAAUUGAGAACAAAAAAUGAAUUCCUCUCCCCUGGGCACAUAGUAUCAAAGCACAAUUCCCUCCUCCAAUUAACUGUCAUAAAUCACAUUCCCCAAUUAGCUUGAAGCAAGGGGCUUCCUCUCCAGUUCUCCAGCAUUGACAGAAAGUUUACAUAGGUAUAUAAAAGGUUAAUCAAAGUCCUGACGGUUCACCUGGAACCUCCCAAUAUUAAAAAAUUCCCUGUAGACCUCAUUAUAUGUAAAUUAAUACAUCAGCAGUUUUACUUGCCAAUUAACAGAAAUUCUUUAUUGAUGUAAAUUUCCUAAGGAAUACCCUUUUACUGAAUAAAUUAAGCUAUGCAUAUUACCCUGAAAACUUAUUUGCCCAUUUAAUUUUAGUGUCAGUAUCACAGAAAUGAUCCUGAACAUGUUCUUUGGCCUUUUUAGUUUAAAAUCUAGUUUAAAAUCCGAGAAGUAAACAGAUAGCAAAAUAUAUAUUUCCAGAAUUAUAACAGUCAUGUCUCAUUUUAAUAGUUAUUUUAUUUAUUUGUAACCCUCCUUUAUUAUUUUUACAAAUGAUGCAAGGUGGUGAACAUAUCCAACACACCUUCCUCUUCCUAUUCUCCCCAUAACAACCAUCCUUGAAGUUUCUUAGGCUGAGAGAGCAACAGACCCAAGGCCUGGCUUUCAUACUUAAGAUGGAAGAGAACUCACCAUUUCCGACUUUCUAGCCAGGUGCCUUAACCACUAGGCCAAACUGGCUCUUCUAGGUUACAUUUACUUUACAAAUAUGGAACAACAGUAGCAAUUGUUACAUUGAGCUGAAUGGCUUAGAUUAGAAGAAAAUCUAAAUGAAGUACUUCUUGAUUAAUUUGCACUUGAUUAAUCUGCACCGAUCAACCAAAACCGAUUGCUUCCGACUUACCCAGAGCAAUUGCUCAAAUAUACUAAACAGCUGUUCCAUAUUUAUAACAAAAAAUACUCACUGAUAACAGAUAGCUAAUUUUAGGUUCAUGGUGAAACAUGAGCAAGUUAAUUUAGAUCAGAUUCAUGUUAUUUGAAAAUACAUUGGACAGACUGAGAGGAA